AUGACUUUUGUGGGAAUGUCGCCUCCCCCCGCCCCCCCCGCCCCAAUUCCUGGGGCUUUUCCUGGCUCCGGCCUCGCUUUGGGGUUGGUUUUUUUUUUUUGGGAGAUUGGAAUUUUUGGGGGAAUUCUGGCGAUUUGGGGUGGGGGGGGGAGGGGUGUCCCUGCUUCCCCCCUGCCCUCCCCCCCCUUUCCCGGGAUUCUCCACCGCUGCUUUCCCAGCUUUUCCCUCGCUUUCCCAGCUUUUCCCUCGCUUUCCCAGCUUUUCCCUCGCUUUCCCAGCUUUUCCCUCGCUUUUCCCUCUCUUUCCCAGCUUUUCCCUCGCUUUUCCUUCACUUUUCCAGCUUUUCCCUCACUUUUCCAGCUUUUCCUUCGCUUUUCCACCUUUUCCUUUGCUUUUCCAGCUUUUCUCUCACUUUUCCACCUUUUCCUUUGCUUUUCCAGCUUUUCUCUCACUUUUCCAGCUUUUCAUUUGCUUUUCCAGCUUUUCCUUUGCUUUUCCAGCUUUUCUCUCAAUUUUCCAGCUUUUUUCUCACUUUUCCAGCUUUUCCUUCGCUUUUCCAGCUUUUCCUUCACUUUUCCAGCUUUUCCCUCUCUUUCCCAGCUUUUCCCUCGCUUUCCCCUCGCUUUUCCAGCUUUUCCCUCACUUCUCCAGCUUUUCUCUCACUUUUCCACCUUUUCCUUUGCUUUUCCACCUUUUCCUUCGCUUUUCCAGCUUUUCCCUCACUUUUCCAGCUUUUCCCUCUCUUUCCCAGCUUUUCCUUCGCUUUUCCAGCUUUUCUCUCAAUUUUCCAGCUUUCCCCUCACUUUUCCAGCUUUUCCCUCAUUUUUCCAGCUUUUCCCUCUCUUUCCCAGCUUUUCCACCUUUUCCAGCUUUUCCCUCUCUUUCCCGGCUUUUCCUUCGCUUUUCCAGCUUUUCUCUCAAUUUUCCAGCUUUCCCCUCGCUUUUCCAGCUUUUCCAGCUUUUCCCUCACUUUUCCAGCUUUCCCCUCGCUUUUCCAGCUUUUCCCUCUCUUUCCCAGCUUUUCCUUCGCUUUUCCAGCUUUUCUCUCACUUUUCCACCUUUUCCUUUGCUUUUCCACCUUUUCCUUUGCUUUUCCAGCUUUUCCUUUGCUUUUCCAGCUUUUCCCUCACUUUUCCAGCUUUUCCCUCUCUUUCCCAGCUUUUCCUUUGCUUUUCCAGCUUUUCCCUCUCUUUCCCAGCUUUUCCCUCUCUUUCCCAGCUUUUCCUUCGCUUUUCCAGCUUUUCCCUCACUUUUCCAGCUUUUCCCUCUCUUUUCCAGCUUUUCCCUCUCUUUCCCAGCUUUUCCUUCGCUUUUCCAGCUUUUCCCUCACUUUUCCAGCUUUUCCCUCUCUUUUCCAGCUUUUCCCUCUCUUUCCCAGCUUUUCCUUCGCUUUUCCAGCUUUUCCUUCGCUUUUCCAGCUUUUCCUUCGCUUUUCCAGCUUUUCCCUCUCUUUCCCAGCUUUUCCCUCACUUUUCCAGCUUUCCCCUCUCUUUUCCAGCUUUUCCCUCGGCUCCGAGCUGA
rnacentral:lncRNA from 1 species